UCCCUGGUGGCUCAGACGGUAAAAAGCGUCUGUCUGCAAUGCAGGAGACCCAGGUUCGAUCCCUGGGUUGGGAA
rfam:TPA: Bos taurus chromosome 5, whole genome shotgun sequence.